rnacentral:rRNA from 1 species
CCUACGGGAGGCUGCAGUGGGGAAUAUUGCACAAUGGGGGGAACCCUGAUGCAGCGACGCCGCGUGGGUGAAGGAGUAUUUCGGUAUGUAAAGCCCUAUCAGCAGGGAAGAACAAUGACGGUACCUGACUAAGAAGCACCGGCUAAAUACGGGCCAGCAGCCGCGGUAAUACGUAUGGUGCAAGCGUUAUACGGAUUUACUGGGUGUAAAGGGAGCGCAGGCGGCGCGUUAAGCCUGGUGUGAAAGUCCGCGGCCCAACCGCGGGACUGCAUUGGGAACUGGCGCGCUGGAGUGCCGGAGGGGUAGGCGGAAUUCGUGGUGUAGCGGUGAAAUGCGUAGAUAUUAGGAGGAACACCAGUGGCGAAGGCGGCCUGCUGGACGAUGACUGACGUUGAGGCUCGAAAGCGUGGGGAGCGAACAGGAUUAGAUACCCGUGUAGUC